rnacentral:rRNA from 1 species
UGAGUAACCUGCCCUUAACUCUGGGAUAAGCCUGGGAAACUGGGUCUAAUACCGGAUAUGACUCCUCAUCGCAUGGUGGGGGGUGGAAAGCUUUUUGUGGUUUUGGAUGGACUCGCGGCCUAUCAGCUUGUUGGUGAGGUAACGGCUCACCAAGGCUUCGACGGGUAGCCGGCCUGAGAGGGCGACCGGCCACACUGGGACUGAGAUACGGCCCAGACUCCUACGGGAGGCGG